GAGUGAAGCGGCAACAGCUCAAAUUUGAAAUCUGGCCCUCUCGGGGGUCCGAGUUGUAAUUUGCAGAGGGUGCUUUGGCGUCGGCUGUGGUCCAAGUUCCUUGGAACAGGACGUCGCAGAGGGUGAGAAUCCCGUAUGUGGCCGCCAGCCUUCGCCGUGUAAAGCCCCUUCGACGAGUCGAGUUGUUUGGGAAUGCAGCUCUAAAUGGGAGGUAAAUUUCUUCUAAGGCUAAAUAUCUGCCAGAGACCGAUAGCGCACAAGUAGAGUGAUCGAAAGAUGAAAAGCACUUUGGAAAGAGAGUCAAAAAGCACGUGAAAUUGUUGAAAGGGAAGCGCUUGCAGGUAGACGUGCCGUCAGUUGCUCAGUCGGGCUCUUCAGCCCGGUGCACUCUUCUGUCGGCAGGCCAGCAUCAGUCUGGGCGGUCGGAUAAAUGCCUAUUAAACGUGACUCCCCUCGGGGAGAGCUUAUAGGGUGGGCGCCAUGCGACCAGCCUGGACUGAGGUCCGCGCAUCUGCUAGGAUGCUGGCGUAAUAGCUGCAAGCGGCCCGUCUUGAAACACGGACCAAGGAGUCUAACAUUUAUGCGAGUGUUUGGGUGUCAAGCCCGGGCGCGUAAUGAAAGUGAACGGAGGUGGGAUCCCUUCGGGGUGCACCAUCGACCGAUCCUGAUGUCUUCGGAUGGAUUUGAGUAAGAGCAUAGCUGUUGGGACCCGAAAGAUGGUGAACUAUGCCUGAAUAGGGUGAAGCCAGAGGAAACUCUGGUGGAGGCUCGCAGCGGUUCUGACGUGCAAAUCGAUCGUCAAAU
rnacentral:rRNA from 1 species